ensembl:lincRNA 5330426L24Rik RIKEN cDNA 5330426L24 gene
CUCAGGUAUAAAGACGAAGAUAAGGUUCCUGGGAAAAAAGGGACGAAGCACUAAGGUUCUCAGGAAUAGAGACGAAGGGAAUUUAAACAAUAUGGGUUCAACUGCAUCUAAAGUGAAAGUAAAAAUGGUGUUGAUCGAGCUUCUUAAAAGAAGCGGUAUUAACAUGAAAGCAGAGACCGUGGACAGACUUCUGGACACCCUCUCCAAGGAAGCCUCAUGGUUUUUAGAGGAAGGGUAUGUUAAUCAGCAGUGCUUGGAGUAUUUGGGAAGGGAUCUCUGAGCUUCUGAUAUGAAGAACCCUCUACCUGUAGGGAUGUUAGCCAUCUGGAACUUGGUUAGGGCAUGCUUUAGGGACGCCAGUGGAAAGUACAAUGCUGAAAUAGAGGAAGCGGUGGCGCUUGAGGAGGCUAAGGAGAUUGCUUCUCAGGCUAGCCGCUGAAAACCUAAACAGCUUAGACAACAAACCAAAGAUAAGAAAGAGAAGAAGGAAUCUAGCUCUGAAGGGUCUACUAGUGACAGCGACGGGACUGAGAGCGACAGUGAUGUCUGUAGUCAGAUGUCCCGCUGGAGUUUGAGGCACAGUAGGCCACCCGAACCAUCAGCCCCUCCGUUGCCUUCUCCCCCCGCCCCCAUAAAGACAAGGGAGACAAAGGGGGAAAGCAUAGUCUUCAUGCAAAUGUCUGGAAAAAUGUGCCCACCGUUGCGAGAGCCUUCCCAGUACUUCAGGACCAACAGGGGCAAUGGUAUCAUGAACCCCUGGAUUGGAAGGUUGUACAGAGAUUGAAGGAGUCAGUUUCAACUUAUGGGGUCCAGGCUGCCUUUACCGUAACUCAGGUUGAGUCCCUACAGCGGUACUGUAUGACUCCUUUUGAUUGGCAGAAACUCUGCAAGGCUGUUCUUUCAGGAGAAGGUUAUUUAACAUGGAAGGCUGCUUAUAUUGAGCAUGCCAUUGAGCAGGCUGCAGCUAAUGCUGCUGCUGGACUCCCCAAUGCAGCCUGGAAUAUAGAGAUGUUAAUGGGGCAAGGGAAUUUUGCCAACAAUCAAACAGGUUAUCCUAUACAGGUUUAUGAGCAGAUUAAUAACUGUGCUCUCAGAACUUGGAGGAUGCUACCAGGCACUGGAGACCUUGGGGCCAGCUUGUCUAAGGUGACACAUUUGAAAGCUGGUAUCCUUAUGGUUAACCAAAGAGUGGAUUGGUUGCAGGAACAGAUGAAUAUUUNUUUCGAGCACUCCUGCUGACUGUUGUGUGUGGAGGAAUGCUUUGGUGGAUGGCACAUAUGCGAAGGUGGCACAGGGCUGAUAAACAAGCCUUAGUGCAGACUAUGGCAGCCUCGGAAGCAGGAACAUCUCCUCAAUGUUGGCUCAACAUGCUGGAUCAGUAAUCAAUGACGGGUAAGACCCUCCUGUGUGCAUACCAACGUAAGACAGGAUGGCAAAAGUGAGUUCGUCACUCCCAUGACAGGUAAGGAUGUGGCACAGAUGGGGGCAACCUAAGACAGAUGCUGAUCCCAGAGCUACUAAUAAAACAAAAAGGGGGAGAUGCGGGAAGCAGGUGCGGCCGCAUGGGCCUAGAUGGUGCCCUGGCCCAUUGCCAGGCCCCGUGAACCCCGCAUGUUUACUGCCUUGCCUGAGCAUGCGCAGUGAGGCUGCAUGUGUGGGCUGCCUGCCAGACUGGACUGUUCCUCGUGAUCCGGAUCUGUCAGCCUAUCGGUGACCGAUUUGAGCUUGUGUCUGGAGCGUGUGUGUGAUUUCUGAUUGAAUGAGGUGGGGUGGAGUGAGAUGAGGUCAGUCGGCGCGAGUAUAGGAGGGCUGUUGUUGUUGUUGCCCUUGCCCUAAGUGGAGAGAGCUGUAAGAAAAAAGCUGCAAGAAAAAGAAGAAGCUGUUGCGUGAACCCAA